rnacentral:rRNA from 1 species
UUCUACGACCAUGCCACCAUGAACAAGCCCGAUGUCUGAUCUCGGAAGCUAAGCAGGGUCGGGCCUGGUUAGUACUUGGAUGGGAGACCACCUAGGAAGACCAGGUGCUGUAGGCA